UAUGAUAGAUGUGCCCAAUGGAAGCGUCGUCUUUCACGCAGCUGAUGCACAUGAGUCCUCUGUCUCUGUUCGUGUUAGGCGGUCUGUCACGCCCGCUGCGUUUGAUGUUCAUUGAGACCAUGAGGUAUCGUCGAGCUCUAGACGUUAAAUUAAGCACUUGUUGGGAGGUAACCCAACCGUUUUUGUUUUGUUUUUCUUUCUUUCAGUUUCGUUUUGUUUCUUUUUGUUUUGUUGUUUUGUUUGUUGGGUUUUUAGUGCGGUGUUGAGCUUGGAAGUUGCGAGAACUCGCGCUUUGUUCAUGCCACCGCCAUGGGCAUGUGUUUCUCUGCCAGGUUACUGGAGGUUUUCAUGUUUCAGCGCAGCCGCUCUCUUCGCUGCCCUGUCCAGCGCAGCCACUCUCUACUCUGCCCAAGGUCACAAACCUCCCUUUUCGCCGCCUCUCACGAUGGUUCAG
rnacentral:lncRNA from 1 species